UACCGGCGGCUCGAGUGGUGGCCACUAUUACUGGGCUUAAAGCGUCCGUAGCUGGGUUGUUAAGUCUCUUGGGAAAUCUGACGGCUUAACCGUUAGGCGUCUAAGGGAAACUGGCGACCUAGGGAUCGGGGGAGGUGAGGGGUACUCCAGGGGUAGGAGUGAAAUCCUGUAAUCCUUGGGGGACCACCUGUGGCGAAGGCGUCUCACCAGAACGACUCCGACAGUGAGGGACGAAAGCUGGGGGAGCAAA
rnacentral:rRNA from 1 species